UGAACCUGCGGACAUUCGUCUCGGCAGUCCGUUCCACAACCAACUAGGCUAUCGCCGCUUUUAAAAACAGCCGCAGCAGAAAAAUACUAUUUGUAAAUGACUAUACUUUCUACAGGUCUAAAAAUGUAUUUGGAAACGGGGACAUAGGUGGAGGAGCACCCAGGAUAGAACUUGCAAACCCUUCUUACAGCUAACGAACGACGUGAUCAUUGUAAAAAAAACCUCAUCCAUUAUCACAACGCACCUGUCUAUCACAGAAUUAAAGGCAAGAAAUACUAUAGAUGAACUUUACGGAUUAACAACACCUCAAUCCCCCCCCGUGACCAUGAAGGCUGCAAAGUCUUCGAAACGUCGGGAGAAAAAUAAAAUACAAAAAACCGUGAUUGAAUCCGGAAAAUUAGUUUAAUUUCAAUAUGUAAAAGUUAGUUAUUAAUUGAUUAGUACUGUUUUGUUUGCUAACACUAAUAAAAUUCUGCCAAGGUUUCAAUUCGUGAACAUUAAAACGGUCAGCCUAAACUCUUUAAAUGAUGGUGAAAAAUAUACUUGCGUGCUAAAAUUUCGGCCCACGUUACUGGGUUACACUCUGAACUAUAAAAAUUAGAAAUGCAUAGUAUUGAAAUUAAUCAUUUCUCAUCAGUCGACACUCUAACAAAGAUCUAAUACUCUUUCCAUCAGCUGCAGUGAAAUAUCUCUUAUAAAAAAUAAAACUUGGAUAAAAAUAUUCAUUUAAAAGGCUACGAGAAGUGCUUUCUCUACGUCGUCGUAUCGUUAUGGUAUUGCUACAAAUCUUUCACCUGCAACGCGUCCAUCUUGACAAUCGUCUAAAGUUGGUCUAGGAUUACCCACAAAACACGAUCCUUCCAACCUUAGUGAAAACACGAGAUGCCUAGCAUGCAAGGUAUUUUUGACAUACGGUACUAAAUGAAACCACACUUCGAAAUCACCUUCUUGAAAAGUUACCCGAACCGUAAAUGUACCUAAAAUAAAAAAGGAUGUUUUUCGAACUACAUCAAUACAAAAUUAAUUUAAUUUUUACGCCAUGCCACUACUACUACUCUAACAGACUUAGCCGCAGUGGCAACAUGACACUUUCAAUCAUAAAUACACUUCCAAUUUUUUUUAAAUAUUCCUUAUUCAUAGAAGAUUUGAGGCACAAUGUUAGCAAAGAUCAAGAAGAAUAUUUUAUUUCAUGUAUUAACGCAAUGUCUAAAUGCCUCUGUAUAUUGAGGUUAUUUAAAAUAGACUAUAGAAAGGAAUAUGGAAAAUACAUCACUCUAAAGACCCGGGUUCGAAUCCCGAGUCGGGCAAAGUGGCAUUGGAUUUUACUAUUCAGUAUAAGCCCGGAGUCUAAAAUUUGUGUUCGAUAUAGUGAUAAACUCACCCCUUAUCACUUUGGACAAAGUCAUGUCAGUCAUACAUGACGAAAAGUGAUUGACUUUACUUCUAACAAACAUCCAAACAGUUUCACAAACUUUCGUAUUAUAUAAGUAUUAGUAUAAUAUACGUAAAAUUCUACAGAUAACAUCCUCCAAAUCAAGCAGUAAUCCAUACGUCUAUAAUAUUGAGCAAAGUGUUAGGGGAUACGUUUUUCGUACAUGAAGAACAAGAAGGAGACGGAAUCACCUCUUCCCUGAAGGUAUCAGGGCGGGUUGUCAAUAAAUCCGAGCAAAAAGCUCGAGUCAGAGAAUAUCCUGAAAGUUGAAGUAUAUAUUAGUAAGAGACACAUUGUAUACAAUGUUUAUCCGUAAAAUAGUUGUAUUACAAUGUCUAACAUUCGCGUAAACAUAAAUCAUUAUACAAUUUUACUGGUUGUCAAUAAUGGUGAUCAUUUAUAGAUCAUUUGCGAUUUUUUAGUGCUUUUCUAUCCAUAAUCAGGUCACUACAAUCUGUUUUCGAGAGCAUUGCCCUUGCAUCUAGUAUUAGGUGCGUUGGGGUAAGCUCGCACGAGGAUAACAUCGUAUAAAUCGAAGAACUUGCUAUUAUGUUAUAGUUUUUGUUUUCUGACAACAUUGCCUGCAACGCCAUCUUGUUCCCUAAAUCCUGCAGGUUUGCGUGAGUUAUUCUUACAAGUAAAACCUGUUUAUGGUGCCAAUAAACAGAAUACCUUUUUUCGUUGUUCUAUUGAAGAUCUCCAUGAAUAAUUUUAGGUGAGUACUUAGAUUUUUAAUGGCAUAUUAUCAUCAUGAAUAAUUCUCUAAUUAUUUAAAUAAAAAAAUUACGGUAGUAUUCGAAACAGAAAACGGAACAUACGACUCCCGAUCUUCGUUUGUGAUUACCAAUUUCCACACUCACGCCUUUUAUCCCCAAGGGUUAGGUAGAGACGCAACUGAUGAACCCACCUUUCGCCGUGUGUUUUUCGCUCCAUGAUGAGGUAAGAAGCGAGCCUAUCACUAUAUUGGGCACAAAUUCCAAAUACGUGGCCGUCGCUUUGUGUACUGACGACGAUUGGCAACAGAAUUCAUGUUAUAUACUGUGUAAUUGAUUUUAUUGGUUGAACAAAAAGUAUUGUUAUGUUUAAAAACGAAUUGAAGCUGCAAUACCUGAAUGUACGAAGAAAGGCUUUGUUAAUCUUCUAUCUUUAAAAGCGCUAAUAUUUAAAAGUUAACUUCUAAUGACGCAUGCAAUCAUUUUUGCAAAAUGAAUAUAUAGGAAAGAAAGAGACGAAGAAAUGACUUGAAAUGAUCCCAAAAAAAGACGAAAUGAGAGAAAACCAACUUCCCAAAUAACAGAUGAAGAAAGAAAAAAGCAUAAGAAAUUCAAUUUAGGACGAGUCCUCGGUAUCAGAAGUCUGUAAAAAAAAUUGGAGAAGUUAUAUAUAUCGCGCAAAGGUAAAAAUGUUUAUUAAAAAAUACAAAUACUGAAUAAAAUGCAUGUUACACAAUCCCCUGUGCUAAAUGUUUUAAAUAAUAAUACGAUAAAUAUAUAUUUGCAAUAUCGUUAUUGGCUGAGUAAAAAAAUAUUAAUAAUACUAUAAAGCAAUAAGCAUCUUUGUCAAACACAAACAUAUUUUUAAAAUAACAAUUUAAUAAAGUCUCGCGCCUAGACCGCUAGUAGUAACAGUCGCCUGGUAAGCAUUUAUUUUGUUUUAAAUAAAAUAAAAAUAAUAAUUUAGCGAGCAUGUUAACACAUCUGAGGUAGGCGUUUAGUUUAAAUAAAUUUACGCAUAAAAAUAUCAGUUCCCUGGUCAUUUUAUAACACAGGGGCUGUUCUAUUACACCGUGUAUUUUGGUAUCGUUAAAUAUAUCCUGCAGUAUUGCGUAACAUUGAAUAUAUUAAUUAAAAAUAAUAUCUUCUUUGCAGGUAAUGUAAAAUACCACCAAAAGAAAAAGAUACCCAAAACAAGGGAAGAAAAAUUAGAACAAAAACGUUUAAGUGAACGUUUAAGAUACGAAAGAAUUAAAAGUGACCCGCAAAAACGAGAAGAAAUGAGAGAGAAACAACGUCGGACAUAUGAAAUGAGGAAAGAAAAAGGUUUAAGCAAAUUAGUUAAGGACAUGAAUCGUCGUGAGCAUAAAGAUGCAAAAAAAUCUUGGAGAAGACAUAGUGCUACACAUUACGCAAAGAAAAAACUUUUGAAAAAUGUUACGGAAACUUUACUUUGUAAUUGUACCUAGUAUUAUUAAAGAUUGAACAUGUUAAAGUGUUUUAAUGUAAAAAGAAAUAGAAAUAUCAAUUUACAUCCGCUGUCGUAGCAUUUUAAAUUAUUCUUCCUAUAAAAAAUAUUCGAUUACCGUAUGACUUAAAAAAUAUUAAGACAGUGUUAUAUGGUCCAAUUUCCAAUAGAGAAAAAUCUAGUAUAACAUAGCGAGGGAAAAGUCACCUAGGUGAUUUCCAGUAAGUGAUGGAAAUCUGUGUAUUGCUUUGAUAACUAUCAUUUCAAAUUAAACAAAUAGGUUAUAUCUACAAAUGCCGGAUCAACUCUACAGAUUUCAUAUACAGAUAUUGAAAUUAAAAUGGAAUGAUUGGUGUUUUCACCACACCAUUCGCACACAGCAGCCGCACUAGACCUAAAAACAUGAAACUACAUCGUCUGUGUUGUAAUUUUCCUUCGACACUACAGCUUACAUUGCAGCAUGCUUGCUUACUCGGACCAUGGGCACCGAGAGACGACAUGAAUAUAUUCAUGACCGCCCGCGGGAAGGAGAGGCUGGUCUACCACAAUUUCACGUAUUACAAGCAGAGUAGGACAAAGAACGGGUUCAGGUGGGGCUGCACGAAGAAUAGAUGGCAUAAAUGCAAGGCGUACCUCCAUUUGGCUGAUGAUAUGACGAUCGUUAGGAGUAAUAUGGAUCACACGCACAGCCCUUUCGGCACUCCGGUGAAGAAGAGAGAGAGUUAGAUAGAGCUGGCGCAAUGUAAUCCAGUAGAUGAGAAUGGUGGAGGAAGCCACAGUGUAUUGACCAUACUGAGAUGAAUUGAGCAAAUUCGCCACCUCUCUACUGCUUCAAUCAUUAUGUGUAGUCAAUUUUUAAUGUACACCGCAUUCGCCGGUCUAUUGGUGCUCUGUUUCAUUUUGUUAACGUUUGCUGAUCCAAAAUUUGAUCAGGAAAGUUAAUGCUGCUAAAAAUAUUAUUUAAAAAUGAUCAUAAUUUACAUGAAAGUGAUUAUUUAUCUUUAGUUUCCUAUUAUUAAAGUAGACUCGUACAGCUUUGAUAACACCUCUAGUCAUUAUUUUAAGUUAUUUAUACACUAUCAAGCACUACGCAGUUUAGCGAGAAAUAGUCAAUAGAUUUACGAGUACAUUGACCCUUAUAAGGUUUUAGACUGCAAUGAAGGUUUAGGCUGAUAUCAGUAAAAUCUACUGUUACUUAGUGACUCUGCAAGUGAUAAUUACAAUCGAGAAUUGCCUGUAUCGUACUGUUUUAAUUAAUGGCAAUAUUAAUUCAUAUAAUAGCACUGCUAUAAGUGGAAGUAGUCUUUAAAGGUUUCAGCCUUGUUACUAAACCAUUAGCGUCGUCGCUAGCUAUUCUAUUCUUGUUUUACCAUUAUCAGUGGUAACGUAAACUAUAGAAUUAUAAGUAAGUAUUUUGUCCCAAACCUGUGAUCCGUCAUGAAUAUCUAAUUAAAUUAUAAUCACAUAUACACCCAUAGAGCUUAAUAUAGUUAUAGUAAUAUAGGUGUCUAUAAAAACCUGGAUAAUAUUAAUACGUGAGGUUUCUCUACAUAUUUUUAAAUACCAUAUAUGUGGUUAGUCUUCUUUUUUCGUUUCUGAAUUCACUUUCUAAGCAGCAGUAAUAAGUUAUUCAUUGUUGUUGAAUUCAUAAUUUAUUAUAUUCCAACAUUUUGUUGUAAAACUGCAUUGGCGACCCAUUUGGCUCGGGUCCAAACUUCUCUUAGAAUGUUUGCCAUAUAAUAGUUGACAUAAUUCAUCUCUAGUGCAGAUAGUUUAGAUUUUAUUCCAUUUCUAGUCAAAUGUUUUUGUUAUUUGCAAUAAGUCUGUUUUGGAAUUUGAAAAUUUGUCCACAAAAAGAUAUUUUAAAUUGUAAAAUCGAAUCAUCAGGUAAAAAGAGGCAGAAAAUAGAUAUCAGCUAUUGUAAAAAAACUAUCAAUUAUAUAAUUAAAGACCGGAUCAAGCUAAUGGGCAAUCUAAUAGAAAGUGAUAACCGGUAUCCAUAGAAUCAGUAACUUCGAGAAAUUUCCGAUGUAUUAAAUAGGUUACUGCCAGUCGGAUUGAUAAUCCAGUGAUGCUUACUCUACAAAAGGGUAAUAUACCUUUACAAAUGAAACAUUAUAAAUUGCAUUAUACCUAUUAUGUGUCCUGAAUCCCUAGGGUUAUUAAUAGAUCGAACUCAGUAUCACUUUAAAAUUCCAUCUUAGCUGAUACCCUGUCAAGUUAAAGUCAGUAUCUUAAGAUCCUCUUUAUUAAACACGUAUCAAAAACGUUACUUCAAAGUCCGAUCCUGGUAUCGAUUAAUUGGUAUCAGUAUUUUUUUAAUAUUUUGGGUAUUUUUUAUUUAUGAAACAAAUAGUGCUGAUCACAGGCGAUCCAAUACCUCAAGUUUUGUUUAUUAAAUUCAAUAUCUUAAAUGUUUACUUAAGAUACUACUCAAAGGUGAUAUUGGUUUAUUAAUAAGGCCCUUUAUAUUGUUUCUUUACAUAAGUUUUACAAUUAUCAAUAAUACAAUUUUAAAAUUAUAUAAGUUGUACCUGCAUUUAAGUAGGGAAACCCUAUGUCGCAUGCUAAUCAAAAACCAUGUAGGUUUAUUAAAUGAAAUAGGUUUUAAUUGUAAAUAAAAGGAUGAACUAUUGUAUGUUAGAGAGGCCUAUUGUAUCUAGCAUGUUUCCAGUGAGAUAGUUUAUUUACUGUAAGUAGGCAAUUUUAUAAUUUUAGCCUAAUGUAAUUUAUCACUUAUAUUUUUAAUCACAUUCAAAUUUUCUAUCUAGUCAUUUGUUAGUCUGCAUUUUUAAAUCUAAAUUACAUUCCAUUUGAAUUUUAUUAUUACCCAAAAAAUGAUUUUGAAAUAUUGUUAGGUUGAAUUUAGCGCAAAAUAUAAUACGCAUUUAUGUAUAACUUUGUCAAUGUAAUUAUUUGUUAUACAUGUAUCUUUGUAUUAUUUUCAUGACAUCAUUAAAAAUGUUAUAAAUCAAACUGAUUGAAACCAAAAAGAAUUGUACUUGAUUAUGUUUUACGACUUAGCGUUUUAAUUUAUAAAAUUUUAUUAAAAUGCAAUGAACACAGCGAUUUAAAUUAUUGUCAACCUCAGUUUAAUAUAAAAUAUGAUAUCGUUAUUUUGAAAUAUAAAACUAUUUUAUUUAACACUUUACGAUGUCUAUCAUUUGGAUCCAUUUUCACUCUUCACAACUGUCAUAUAUUAUAUACUCAAGUCUAGUCUGGUUAGUUAAGAGCUCGAUCGAUAGUCCAAUGACCUGUGCCGUGGGAUAGACAGUGAGGUUUUUUAGCAUGAGACGAGGAACGUGGACGCCUGUUGGUAAGGAUUCCGUUUAGCUAUAAACAGAAGCGCCAUCUAGAUUUUUUAAACAACAAAAAUAUUUUACAAGUUGAUUUAGAAUCUAAGAGUCGUAUAAGUGGAUGCUUAGUUUCUCUCUUAAGUGUGAUAUCAGCUGACACGGUAGCAAAUUAAGGUUAGCAUCUUAAGAUAUUCGCUGUUUAAUAAACCCUAAUUAACACCAGCUCAAAUUAUAUAUUAAGCUACAAUAUGAUGUAUUUUCAUAGCCGAGUUUUGUUUUAUUAACAGCGCCGACUCAGCUAAGACAACUCUUAACCUUGGUUUAUUGAGUAAUUAAUUACUUUAAACGUCUACUUGAGAUCCUACUUAAGAUUGAGAUUGAUUUAUUAAUAAGGCCCUCAGACAUUAGAUGCUACGCGUAAUAUACUUCGUGGAAGUAACAUUAGAUGGGUAUUGUAUAAAUUAAUUUGGCGAUACUACGCACAAUAAUAAUAUGGAAACAAUAGUUAUAUAAAAAAGGAACCCGUGUGAAAAGGACAUGUUCUAAAAAUUAAACUACAUUUAGACGCAGUCGGGUUUUUUUAUCAAGGACGCGGCUAAGUGGGCUUACUACACCUGAUGGUGAGUUAAAGGAUGCCCAAAAACAUGUCGACCAACAAGAGAUAAAGUUUCCCGGACGGUUGGUAAAUUUAUACCGGCCAGCUUAAUUGCUUUAGGCUUUUGAAGGACCUCUAGUUGUAGGAAGGCAGGAACACGUAUUAUUUAUUUAUUCUACAGUAAGUUUUUUCCAAAUUGUUUUGCAGCGCUUUUCAUCACAUUAGUCAGAGGGGCUAAACUCCUAAUGAUUAAUGAUUAUACAUUCUUCAAGAGCGGUGGCAUUCGCGCUGGCGGCGCUAGAUACAGCUGUUCCAGCGCUUUCAGCAAGGGCUGUAAGGCCUUCGUGCACGUCAGCGCUGAAAACGUCAUAAUGACAGCCAUGACAGAACACAACCAUGAACCAAUAAAAUAUGUUAAGACUAAGGAUGGGAGAUAUGUUAAGGUCUAAAAUAGUCUGAGAAUAUAGUACAUUUAACCAGUUGUAGAAAUUUAAAUAAAUAUUAACCUUAUUCGUGAAUACUUUAGGUUUAGUAGUUUUGUUUUAUAGGAUUUCAAGUCACGCCUUAUUGAUUUAUAAGUAUUGUUUAUAUUUUCUAUUACCAAUGGACAUAAGCGAAAUCACUAAUAAACGGUCGGAGCAAUAAAAAAUAAGGUUUUGUAAAUUCUGCUUUUCUAAGUAAUUUAAUUUUAUUUAUAAAAUAUGGUUGUGAUUAUAAUAGAAUAACACCUGUAUCAUCCAAAUAAAUAAUAACAGCAUAUAUUUUUAUUAAUUAAGAAUUAGAUAUUAAUCUACAUUUCUGGAACUGGUUAAUGAACACACUAUAAAGAAGCGAUAGAAUCUCCAAAUUGAGUUAUUCGUCGUAUAUUUAGGUAAUCGUAGGUUAAGUACGCUCAAGUUUUUAAUGCUGCGUUCAGACAUCGUAACCUUUUGUUGAAAAAUGCCCGGGCAAGAGCAGAUACUAUACACACAUAUAAGUACUGUUGGUCAUGCUCGCGCACUUUUCGGCGAGAUACUACGAAUGCUACGAGGUCUGGACGCAGCAUUAGUUACUUAUGUUUAAUUCCCGGUAUAAACAAAAGAAAUAUAUGUUCAAUACAACCUUCUAAACACUUUCACUCACAUAAUUAUUUCAGGAAUCAAUAAUUGAUUAAUAGACAUAGGAUCACAAAUUUAUGCAAUCCUACAGAUUUUUUAAGAGCCAAAAUAGAGUGUUUGUGUUAGAGUUUAAAAACGUAGUAUUAAAGAUUACAUUAUUGGAAAAA